rnacentral:rRNA from 11 species
CCCUGCUGUGAUACUAGCACUAAAGACACCAGAUCCCUUCUGAUCUUGGAAGUUAAUACGUGAAUGGGGAACCAGUAACAAAUACUAGAUGCCAUGAGAUAUAUUUUAGAGGGAGGAA